rnacentral:rRNA from 1 species
GGUGCGUAACGCGUAUGCAACCUACCCCAUCAAAGGGGAUAGCCCGGGGAAACCCGGAUUAAUACCGCAUAAGAUAGUAUUCUGGCAUCAGAGAGCUAUUAAACAUUUAUGGUUGAUGGAUGGGCAUGCGUUAGAUUAGCUAGUUGGUGUAGUAACGGUGCACCAAGGCAAUGAUCUAUAGGGGUUCUGAGAGGAAGAUCCCCCACACUGGUACUGAGAUACGGACCAGACUCCUACGGGAGGCAGCAGUAGGGAAUAUUGGGCAAUGCUCGCAAGAGUGACCCAGCCAUGCCGCGUGCAGGAAGAAGGCCUUCUGGGUUGUAAACUGCUUUUGGAAGGGAACAAAAUGGGCAUGCGUGCCAACUUGAGUGUACCUUC